GUUGCAUUUGGUGCCACGGUAUGUUCAGAUGGCGUAUGGACAAAAGGGAUGUGGUAAGAAAUACGUUCAUCAUGCAAAAGAAGAGAAGUAUGAAAUAUAUCCUGAAAUCAAAGAAUUCCCUGAUGUUAAUCUCAAACAAAAAGAAGAUUUCAGUAAAUUAAUAUGAUGGGGUGAUUGCAAAAGUUUGGGUUUCAUCUCCUUAUUAUUUGGAGGCUGCGGGUCAAGAUUCUGAAAGCUAAGAAACUUGGGCGUGAAUUAUCGGCUCAUGAAGCGUGGAAGCAAUCACACUGCAAGAAACGAAGUCGACCAUUGGAUAAAGAUCUAAGUUGUAGCAGUCACUACUUUUGGACGUUGAUUCGGAAGGGAACACUCAAGAAGAAAAUCUUGUAUGGGUUGAUGCUAGGGCAGAUGAGACUUGGGUUAAAUAUGAAGGGUUUCUUGUGGAGAAGUAUGGGAAAGAACGUAAUAAACAUCCAAAAUUUGACUGACUUGUGGUCACAAGAUGAGGGCAAGAAUAAAAGAUAAGUGCACGGGUUAUGUAAUGUUAGUGACCCUUGUGUACAUAGCAGAGAAGACCCUAAGGUAUUUUUAAUCCUUUUAAUAUGUAAACAAACUGGAACAUGCUAUUUAGUUUCUAGCACUUGAAUUGUAGCUCACAAUUGUAUUUUGUUUUCUUUGCAGCCAACUUGAC
rnacentral:lncRNA from 1 species